UACGUAGGUGACAAGCGUUGUCCGGAUUUACUGGGCGUAAAGAGCGCGCAGGCGGUCGAUCAAGUCGAGUGUGAAAGCCCCCGGCUCAACUGGGGAGGGUCAUUCGAUACUGAUCGACUCGAAGGCAGGAGAGGGUAGUGGAAUUCCCGGUGUAGUGGUGAAAUGCGUAGAUAUCGGGAGGAACACCAGUGGCGAAGGCGACUACCUGGCCUGUUCUUGACGCUGAGGCACGAAGGCUAGGGGAGCAAACGGG
rnacentral:rRNA from 1 species